UACAGAGGUCUCAAGCGUUGUUCGGAUUCAUUGGGCGUAAAGGGUGUGUAGGUGGCGCGCUAAGUCGGGUGUGAAAUUUCGGAGCUUAACUCCGAAACUGCAUUCGAUACUGGCGUGCUUGAGGACUGGAGAGGAGACUGGAAUUCAUGGUGUAGCAGUGAAAUGCGUAGAGAUCAUGAGGAAGACCAGUGGCGAAGGCGGGUCUCUGGACAGUUCCUGACACUGAGGCGCGAAAGCGUGGGGAGCAAACAGG
rnacentral:rRNA from 1 species